rnacentral:lncRNA from 1 species
CUCUGAUGGCAGCCCAGGCCCUCUGAAGCUGGGGGCAGUGUGGAGGCGUUGCUCUAUGGGCUUGGCCUUGGACGGAGCCUGGAGGACUGCUGGGGGCAGGAGGGAGUUGACAGCAGAAGCCAGGGACCGGGUUAUGGCGAGGGUGCUCUGAAUGCCAAGAAGAGAGGAUGGAGAGGACUCGGGAUUUUCU